GUAGGGAAUAUUGGGCAAUGGUCGGAAGACUGACCCAGCCAUGCCGCGUGCAGGAAGACGGCCCUCUGGGUUGUAAACUGCUUUUAUCUGGGAAGAAAAAGGCCAUGCGUGGCAAAUUGCCGGUACCAGAUGAAUAAGCACCGGCUAACUCCGUGCCAGCAGCCGCGGUAAUACGGAGGGUGCGAGCGUUGUCCGGAUUUAUUGGGUUUAAAGGGUGCGUAGGCGGCUGAUUAAGUCAGCGGUGAAAGACUGCGGCUUAACCGGAGCAGUGCCGUUGAUACGGGUUGGCUUGAGUGUCGGAGGGGUACAUGGAAUUGAUGGUGUAGCGGUGAAAUGCAUAGAUACCAUCAGGAACACCGAUAGCGAAGGCAUUGUACUGGCCGACAACUGACGCUGAUGCACGAAAGUGUGGGGAUCGAACAGGAUUAGAUACCCUUGUAGUCC
rnacentral:rRNA from 1 species